rnacentral:rRNA from 1 species
CAGCAGCCGCGGGAAUACGUAGGUGGCAAGCGUUGUCCGGAAUUAUUGGGCGUAAAGCGCGCGCAGGCGGUUUCUUAAGUCUGAUGUGAAAGCCCCCGGCUUAACCGGGGAGGGUCAUUGGAAACUGGGAGACUUAGAGUGCAGAAGAGGAGAGUGGAAUUCCGUGUGUAGCGGUGAAAUGCGUAGAUAUAUGGAGGAACACCAGUGGCGAAGGCGACUCUCUGGUCUGUAACUGACGCUGAGGCGCGAAAGCGUGGGGAGCAAACAGGAUUAGAUACCCCAGUAGUCCCUGUCUCUUAUA